rnacentral:rRNA from 1 species
UAAGGAAUAUUGCUCAAUGGGAGAAAUCCUGAAGCAGCAACGCCGCGUGGAGGAUGAAGGGUCUAUGACUUGUAAACUCCUGUAAAGAAGGAAAAAAUUCCCAUUUGAUGGGAGAUGAUGGUACUUCUGGAGUAAGCCCCGGCUAACUACGUGCCAGCAGCCGCGGUAAUACGUAGGGGGCAAGCGUUGUCCGGAUUUACUGGGUGUACAGGGUGCUCAGGCGGAUUUGUAAGUCAGAGGUGAAAUCUUACAGCUUAACUGUGAAACUGCCUUUGAUACUGCAAGCCUAGAGUAUGGACGGGAGAGAUGGAAUAUCUGGUGUAGCAGUGAAAGGCGUAGAUAUCAGAUAGAACACCAAUGGCGAAGGCAGUCACUUGG